UGGCGGCCGUAGCGCGGUGGUCCCACCUGACCCCAUGCCGAACUCAGAAGUGAAACGCCGUAGCGCCGAUGGUAGUGUAGGGUCUCCCCAUGCGAGAGUAGGGAACUGCCAGGCA
rnacentral:rRNA from 1 species